CCGAACCUUGUACACACCGCCCGUACACCACCUACGAAAAACUUGUUUGUGCCCAAAGUGGUCUUAGCCAACCUGAAAAGGAAGCGGACAACUAAGGUAUGGACAGUAAUUGGGGUGAA
rnacentral:rRNA from 1 species